AUUGAACGCUGGCGGCAGGCCUAACACAUGCAAGUCGAACGAGUGGCGGACGGGUGAGUAAUGUCUGGGAAACUGCCUGAUGGAGGGGGAUAACUACUGUAAACGGUAGCUAAUACCGCAUACCAUCAGAUGUGCCCAGAUGGGAUUAGCUUGUUGGUGGGGUAAAGGCUCACCAAGGCGACGAUCCCUAGCUGGUCUGAGAGGAUGACCAGCAACGCUGGAACUGAGACACGAUCCGUGCUCCUACGGGAGGAAGCAGUGGGGAAUAUUGCACAAUGGGCGCAAGUCUGAUGCAGCCAUGCCGCGUGUAUGCAGAAGGCCUUCUGGUUGUAAAGUACUUUCAGCGGGGAGGCGUUACCCGCAGAAGAAGCACCGGCUAACUCCGUGCCAGCAGCCGCGGUAAUAC
rnacentral:rRNA from 1 species